ensembl:rRNA 5S_rRNA 5S ribosomal RNA
GCCUGCAGCUAUAUCACCCUGCAGCUCACAACUGGCAGCCCACUGAAGCUCAGCAGGUGUGAGCCUGGUCAGUACCCGGAUGGGAGAACUCCUGGGAAAAACUAAGGUUGCUGUUGGAA